GACAGGCAAACCUGUUGAAAAGCAGGGGCGCAAAGCUAUGAGUCUAAGGCAGUCUAUCUGAUCCGGAUUAUAAGGAUCCAGAGGCGGUGCUAUGAUAGUCAGGCUGC
rnacentral:ncRNA from 1 species